rnacentral:rRNA from 1 species
CCUACGGGAGGCAGCAGUGGGGAAUAUUGCACAAUGGGGGAAACCCUGAUGCAGCGACGCCGCGUGAGUGAAGAAGUAAUUCGUUACGUAAAGCUCUAUCAGCAGGGAAGAAAAUGACGGUACCUGAGUAAGAAGCGCAGGCUAACUACGUGCCAGCAGCCGCGGUAAUACGUAGGGGGCAAGCGUUAUCCGGAUUUACGGGGUGUCAAGGGAGCGUAGACGGUGGGGCAAGUCUGGAGUGAAAUGACGAAGCUUAACUGCGGAACUGCUUUGGACACUGGACAACUAGAGUGCGGGAGGGGUAAGCGGAAUUCCUAGUGUAGCGGUGAAAUGCGUAGAUAUUAGGAGGAACACCGGUGGCGAAGGCGGCUUACUGGACUGUAACUGACGUUGAGGCUCGAAAGCGUGGGGAGCAAACAGGAUUAGAUACCCGGGUAGUC